CCAGAGGGUCCGCAAAUCUGAGCCUCUGUCCUCGCGGCCGAUCCCUUGCCCACGGCUACCCGACCCCCGGAAAUCGGAACCGCAGCGUCACCAUCUCAGAAUUCCCGGCGUCGACGCGCAUCUUCUCUGACACCUCCAACUCGAACCCAGCUGAAGUAUCUUCAGAGAGCCUUCUGUGAUGUUCUCAGCUCAGGGCCAUCCCUUCCUCAUUUCAUCCUCUGAAUCCGGCAAACGCCUAGCAACUCUCAUAGGAAAUGUGUCUCCCAAGGCUGAAUGCAAAUGUGAAAAAAUAAUAGUGUGCAAGGAAUCCACACACCUUCUCUCAAGCCAGACCUGAGUCAUUUCUGACAAAUGUGAUGAGAAUACAACCAUCACCACCAAAAAAUACCCACAAUACUCAGCUGAAAAGCCUCAUUUUCUCCAGCUGCUGUCUCCAGAGCCACCUGAGAGUGGAAUGGAAAGGGAUUGAUCCAAUGGUGCUCAGAUGGGUGGGCUUCAGAACCACCUGGAAGGCUUGCUAAAACAGGUUUCUGGGCCCCACCCCAGAGUUUCUGAGUCAGUAAGCCUUACAGCAAUCAUGUCAAAC